rnacentral:rRNA from 1 species
GACGAACGCUGGCGGCGUGCUUAACACAUGCAAGUCGAACGGAAAGGCCCUGCGUUUGCGGGGUGCUCGAGUGGCGAACGGGUGAGUAACACGUGAGUAACCUGCCCUUGACUUUGGGAUAACUUCAGGAAACUGGGGCUAAUACCGGAGAGGAGCUCCUGCUGCAUGGUGGGGGUUGGAAAGUUUCGGCGGUUGGGGAUGGUUUCGCGGCUUAUCAGCUUGUUGGUGGGGUAGGGGCUGACCAAGGCUUUGACGGGUAGCCGGCCUGAGAGGCUGACCGGCCACAUUGGGACUGAGAUACGGCCCAGACUCCUACGGGAGGCAGCAGUGGGGAAUAUUGCACAAUGGGCGGAAGCCUGAUGCAGCAACGCCGCGUGCGGGAUGACGGCCUUCGGGUUGUAAACCGCUUUCGCCUGUGGCGAAGCGUGAGUGACGGUAAUGGGUAAAGAAGCAACGGCUAACUACGUG